AAGAAAGAACGGCAAUCUAAGUUCGCCGCGUCCUGCGGCAACGGUUGCAUGACCUACAUCCUGUAGG
rnacentral:sRNA from 1 species